rnacentral:rRNA from 1 species
GAUGAACGCUGGCGGCGUGCCUAAUACAUGCAAGUCGAGCGAACAGAUGAGGAUCUUGCUCCUCUGACGUUAGCGGCGGACGGGUGAGUAACACGUGGAUAACCUCCCUAUAAGACUGGGAUAACUUCGGGAAACCGGAGCUAAUACCGGAUAAUAUAUUGAACCGCAUGGUUCAAUAGUGAAAGACGGUUUUGCUGUCACUUAUAGAUGUAUCCGCGCCGCAUUAGCUAGUUGGUAAGGUAACGGCUUACCACGGCAACGAUGCGUAGCCGACCUGAGAGGGUGAUAGGCGACACUGGAACUGAGACACGGGCCAGACUCCUACGGGAGGCAGCAGUAGGGAAUCUUCCGCAAUGGGCGAAAGCCUGACGGAGCAACGCCGCGUGAGUGAUGAAGGUCUUCGGAUCGUAAGACACUGGUAUUAGGGAAGAACAAAUGUGUAAGUAACUAUGCACGUCUUGACGGUACCUAAUCAGAAAGCCACGGCUAACUACGUG